GCCAGGUGUGGUGGCGUGCACCUGUAGUCCCAGCUACUCAGGAGGCUGAGAUGGGAGAAUCGCUUGAACCCAGGAGGACAAGGUUGCAGUGAGCUGAGAUCAUGCCAUUGUACUCCAGCCUGGGUGACAGAGAGAGACUUCAUCUCAA
rnacentral:SRP_RNA from 2 species